CCAGGAGUUGCCGUGGGUGGCCGCCACCCACCCGCGGCCCCCCCCUCGCCGAUGGUCUCCCCGCCGGACCAUCGCCACCCACGUCACCUCCCGCC
rnacentral:miRNA from 1 species